CAAUAGCGUAUAUUAAAGUUGUUGCAGUUAAAAAGCUCGUAGUUGGACCUUGGACCUGGACAGGCGGUCCGCCUCACGGCGAGUACUGUCUUGCUGGGCCUUUCCUCUUGGUGAUCUGUUGUUUCGGCAGCAGGGAACCAGGACCUUUACUUUGAAAAAAUUAGAGUGUUCAAAGCAGGCUCGACGCCGGAAUAUAUUAGCAUGGAAUAAUAAAAUAGGACGUGCGGUUCUAUUUUGUUGGUUUUUGGAAUCGCCGUAAUGAUUAAUAGGGACAGUCGGGGGCAUUAGUACUCACAUGCUAGAGGUGAAAUUCUUGGAUUUUGUGAAGACUAACUUCUGCGAAAGCAUUUGCCAAGGAUGUUUUCAUUAA
rnacentral:rRNA from 1 species